rnacentral:rRNA from 1 species
UACAGAGGGUGCGAGCGUUGUUCGGAAUUAUUGGGCGUAAAGAGCUCGUAGGCGGUUUGUCGCGUCUGCUGUGAAAACUCGGGGCUUAACCCCGGGCCUGCAGUGGGUACGGGCAGACUAGAGUGCGGUAGGGGAGACUGGAAUUCCUGGUGUAGCGGUGAAAUGCGCAGAUAUCUGGGGGAACACCGGUGGCGAAGGCGGCAUCCUGGACCGGUAUUGACACUGAGGCGCGAAAGCCAGGGGAGCAAACGGG